rnacentral:sRNA from 1 species
UGCCGCGCCAUCUAGUGGCGCUCCGCGCAACCACCUCUCUCUUCCCCCUCUCUCGUCUCGCCGCACGCAUCGUAGAUCGUAGUAGCCGCCAUUGUUAACCUGCCUCGCUUUACGUCGCUCCGCCGCCGCCGGAGAGUCGACGACGACGAGGACGCGGACGGGGACGACGCACGGGUGCACCGGGGUGUCGUCGAGGCUCAUUUCGUCGCUCGCUGUCGACGGCCGUGCCGUUCGCGAGUAAACCGAGUGUCGGGAACUCGAAAAUUCCGUUUCUGGUUACGCUUUCGCGCAUCGGGGCGCCCCGUCGAAGCACCUCGUCCGGAGGGUGGGAGCGAGACGUAGAAGACAGGGGGACGGAGAGGAAGGAAGGGAGAGGAGGAGGAGAGAGAGAGAGGCGCCCUGGCCGCUCGCGAAGGAUCGUCCUGUGCGCUCCCUUCUGUCACCUUCGUGCCGAGGCCGAUACGGAUCGCGCGGCGGCGUUCCGACCGAUGCCCCGUCGACGGAUUCAACCCGGUGACGGUGCGAUCGUGCUGUGCGUUCGUUGUUAGUGCAUCAUGUGAUUGCUUCCCCGGGGUACUGUCUACGCCACGGUGACGGAUACUCCGCGUACUCAAGGAUGCAGGAACAGUCAUUCCCGCGCCGAAAAGGGCUCCUCACCCCAGUGUCGGUGUUGGUGCUGCUGAUACUACCAUUGGUCGAUCUACCCUCUGCAAACGGAUCUUGCGAGUUUCCAUCAAGUUGGACGGGAGAAUGGUACCAGUAUGGAAAAUCCCCAGUCACUAUAAAUACAACCGUUCUCGGAGAUAGAGCCUGCGUCGAAAGGACGGAUGACAAAUAUGUCGUUUUCAAUAUUGCAGAUAACUGUUAUCAAUGUAUGAUUAUCAACGGACGACAUGAGAACGUCCAUCCAAUAUCGUGAAGCGUGGUGCACCUUGGAACGAAAGAAUUUGGAAGAAUUGUGCAGUGUGAUCACCUCAGAUGACAUGCUCUAUUCAAUCUUCCGCAUAAACUCCAAACCGAUAUCCUGCCCAUUUAGCGGGUCGUCGUUUACAUUCACGUAUAAUCGAGGUUACGGCGAGUGUACAAUGCCUAUAAGUCUCGCGGAGAAAUGUACAGACGAGAGUAAGCUUCUCCUCAAGUACCAGGCCUGUCCGGACGUCGAAGGGACUGAAAGUAACACCGAGGAGUUACAAUGCCUUGCGGUUUGGAACGAUGGCCGUAAUAAAUAUCUGGUAGGAACCUUAAAAGGGAGGAACGUUCAGAGCGAUCCAUACAGGUGCUUUUUGUAUGAAGAAAAGCCUCAUCAUCAGGGAAAGAUGAUUUAUUUACUUGCUCAGUCUGGCGAUCCGACUUGCAAUGGUUUAACCACGGUUUCUGAAGGUUCACCCACCAUAAAGCUUACUAAAGUCGAUAAAGAACAUGGUAGAUGUAAAUAUCCAUCUUGGGUAACUCAGCACCAUGAUUGGCACUCUCUCGACGGUACAAAGAAUUAUCACUUUACGAACAAGAAUGCUACUCUGAAAAUAAAGGCACAAGCGCAGGAUAUCAAUAGCGAGACAUUCCACGAGGAAAAAAUCGUUUGUCAUAAUGUAGAAAAGUAUCCGAACGAAAAUAUGCAGGGGAGUAAAGUGAAACUGGUCGCUCAUGUCACCAGCGGCUGCGAUAUUGGUUAUGUUUGCAUGAUAUUCCAUAAAAGAGACAGUAAUAUUAUCGAGAUACAACAAUCAGAUCAAAAAGCAAUUAUGCCAGACGAGGCGUGCUCCAUCUCCGAUCCUUCCACGAUGCCGCAUAUGACCUUAAUAAGUACGUCCUUGCAUCAGAGAAAAUGUCCUAAUCUAGGACGAUACGAGAUCCUGGAGUUUGCUCCGUCGCAUACGUUGUCAGAAGCUGUCAUGUCAAGGCGACAACGGCGUAGCGACUUAUCAAGGACUAUCAAGAGGCGAACUUGGCAGGAUAACACCGAGGACGCGGAGUGCAAGAGUACGAACAUUCAAAUAGGCUGCACUUCGUCUGAUCAAACUGAAAUGAUAAUCGCCAAUACGUGUGAACACGAAGAGAUUGCCUAUUUUUGUCACGGUAGUUGGGAAGAGAAAGGAACAUGGUACACGAUAGCUUCGCAACGGAAUUCUGAAUUCCCAGCCAGCCUAGGACAAACAUUUUGUUUUUCUAUGCGCCUUGAAGGAGUUCGAGACAGAGUUUUGGGAAGAGGCGGCAGGCAGAAGCAACAAGAACAAGAAUUAUGGCUGUCUGUGCCAUCACGAAUUUGUCAGAGAAACUCUGAGGACGAAUAUAUGUAUAGACUGUCAAAUCAAGGGGUGUGUGAAGAUUUAACAAAGGCAGCUUCUAGCGCAGCGUUUGCUCCAUCGUUGUCCCAGCCUUUGUUUACCUUAAGCAUAGCAGCUUACGUCGCUAUUAAUACGCUAUGCGUAUUACUCUGGAGAUGAUCUGCAGCUAUUAUGUAAGAACUUGAGGUACUAUAAUUUCCAGCACGACUUCUCAGGUAUUGCGUGUUUCUGGAAGUGUAUAUAGCUUACAUAUAGUUUUAGCUAUUGAACGAUCGAUGAGCUGUCAGUACGUAAGAACGAUGUGGGAAGCGUGCAGCUAAUAAUUAUUAUUGUCGUAUUAAUUUUCAUUUUGUUUUGAGACAGCAGCCUAAUUACGUAAAUUAGUAAUCACGACGUGUUCCUCGAGACUAUUUAUAUAUGUUCGCGAAUUUUAUACACAAUUAUUUUUUAUAACAUCGCCUAUCGUAAUUUAUCGCGAACUAUUCUAAACAUUGCUUUAGAAUACAGUAUUUGUUUUAAAAUGUAAAAUACGAAAUGGUACUUUAUACUUCAAACAAAUUUAUGUCGUACAUAUGCAUGGGAUGAACUAUUAUAAGCUCUGACUUUUGAGAUUACGAAAGUGUAUAAUUUACGCGACAGCCUCGAAUCACGACCACUUUUGAAUAUCUAUACCCGAAGACUCACAUGUAUAUUCUUAAGUACGGCGCUACUGUAAAUACGACCAGGAUAUAAGUAAUCGAGAUAUUUCAAUUGAGUUAUUUUCGAGUGAAAAUUUGGAUAUGCUAUGUAAUUAACAAUUUAACGGAUUGAACUCGUAUUUAAUAUAAAACAAGGGACAUAGGUUUUAUCUCUUAGCUAGUAUAUACAACAACUGUACAUAAUAUAAUUGAAAUAUUGUAUAAAGACUGUUUUUAAAAGAGUAUGACAAGUAUACCGCUCAUGAUAUUGCAUAUUGUUAUUGAAAGUGCGUGCAUUUUCAAGGACAUUCUCGAGAUCAGCCUCGCAAUCGAAGAUCCGCGUACGUGUGACGCUCGUGUUACAUUAUCGUUCAUAAGUUCGUGAAUCGGAAUAAUUCAAAAAAUAGGAAAAAGUAUUAACACAAAGUAAUUUUUUUUUUUUUUUAGAAAAAAAUUAUUUUAUCCAUUUUUACAAAAAGAAAAAUUAUUUUGUUCGUUUUCAUAAAAAUCGAUCACGCAUCAAUAUGCAAUUUAUCAAAGAUGGAACUAAAUAAAUAAAAUUCAAACUUCUAAUUCUAUCAAGACAAUUUUGUCAAAAAAUAUCAAUCUUUUAAACUUGGAUAGUAUAGAAAAAAAGAGGUACGUUCUUCUUGAACAUUUUUCUCCGAAGAUUAUCAUCUUGUAAUUCUGAAAUUAAUAGUUUUAAAGCACAGUCUUUGAAGAGUUGAAAGUAAAAAAAUCACACAUUGUCCUUGUCGCAUUCAUAAACUUAUUGAACGAUGCUGUGCAUCGUCGAAGACUUUCAACAGGCCUAACAUAUAUAUAGCCGAGUGUGGUACAUUUGCGGAUGCAUUAAAACACGUACUCGUUGCGUGCGAAUAUACAUAAUGCUUUUGCAUUUCUGGCACAGAGUUAGUGGAUGUCGGAAUAAAUCAAUCGCGAAUAUCAUUAUCUCCUAUUUAUCAUCGACGUCAUCGUACACAAUAUGUAUCAUUCAAAUUCAAAUGUAUGGCAUCUCCAAUUUUCAUUGUGUUCGAAUAUCGGCAAGUUUCGAUCCGCGCCACUAGAUUCAUAUAUCACAAUGAAAUAUUUCCUUUCGAAUACCGGGUGAUAUAUUUUCUUGACAGUUUAACAUUUGUAAUCUCUUGCAAACGUUAAGGCCCGUCUACAAUGGCAGUAUCAGUAGGUCGUAGCAGUUGUAAGCGAAAUGAACCAAAUCCAUUUCCUACGGAUUUCAUGCGUUUCUAUGGCAGUCGCGCAUACUCAAUCACGGAAAAAUUCUGCGUUCUUAAUUCUGAUUGCGCGUCCGUCGUAGAACAUACAUAGUAGUCGUAAGAAAUGAUUUGAUUCAUUUCGCUUACAACCUUACAACCUUAUGCUACUGCCAUUGUAGACGGGCCUUUACACGUCCUGUAUAAAUAUCAAUGGGUCGUUUGUAUACUUUUUUUGCAUUUUCGAAAAUUAAGAUAGUGUACAAUUACAAGUAACGAUAUACAUAUAAUCUAAUUAAUAUCUAUAUCGUAUAUUGUGAUUCUCUUUAUUAUUGUGAUUAUCUUAUAAUGUAUUUCAUUUUGCAUGGAUGAUGCAAGACUCAUUAUUAUUUUUUGAUUUUGAAAACUGGUUUAUUUUGGAACAUCUUUUUAUUUUAGCGGUAGUGUGACGGUAUCAAUAAUAAAUCAUACGUUUUUUUAUCAACAUUAGUCGAAGAAAUAAUGCGGCUAGAGCAAUAAAACUUAAAAAUACUAAUUGGUAUAGUGUUAACUGCACGAUAUCUUGAAACUUACAUUGAUUUAAGUAUUAAGCAAAAAUAAUAACAUAAUCUAUGUGAUAUUAUGAACGAGGGAGGGAAGCCAAGAAUACGGUCCAUCACGCGAAGCUCAAUAGUUUUCUAUUUUUAUCAAAUGACACUCUUACAUACACUGCCAAUUGUACUCUUACAUACACGUACACAUACACUGCCAAUUGUACAUAUAUAAGGUUUUAUUGAUCAUACGCGUAUAUAUGUACACACAGAUAUAUAUUUGCAUGUAUCAAACUACAUGUACUAACUCUAGAGGAAGUAAAGAAGCGAUAGAAAAAAAAGUACGCAGAAAAACUUGAAUAUGCGGAUACAUUCUAGUGUGAAUUUCGCCAUCCAUUAACUCUGUGACAUCCAUCACAUAUAGGCGUAAAUGUGACAGCCAAACUGAGAAACGAAACUGAACUCUAAAAAUACAUUUUUAUUGUAUAUAUCGUAUAUUUUCUAAAUAAUGGACUGUUCCGGAAUUCAGGAGAUUUGUUGAAGUAAGCGAAAGUGUAUGGAUUCGAAUUAUAUUAAAUAUUUGAGCACUUGAAUAACGAAGACAGAUUCUUAUUUUUAUACAGAUAGGAUGGACUUGUCGCGAUGUCCUAAUGUCCCCUCCACACACACGAAACUCGACACGAUUAAGCGAAAAAAAUGUAGUCAUACGAAUAGAUACUUUAUAUAAGUUUUGUAAUUACUGUAUUUAUAUCGUUAGCAACUCAUCUCUGAAAGCAGAUUCGAAAACGAUUCUCGACCGUAGACGCCUAGUUGAUUACCGUCGCAAACAUUUUUUAUUAGUUAUUAAUAUUUUCUCAGCAUAUAUAUAUUAUAUAUAUUAUAUUAAUAUUUUAUUAUAUUUUUUGUAUGACUAUUGUUUUAUACAUAUACAUAUAUAUAUCUAUAUAUACUAUUUUGAGAGACACGAGAUAUCUAAUAAUAGUGACACAGUGCAGGCCUUGUUACUUUAUGCGCGUUUGAAAAUGCGAAGCAGAAACGACAACCGAUAUGCCUUAAAUAUACAAUUUCUAAUGCCUUAUGCGAAUCACAAAAGUACGAACGGUCGGUUACUUUCACACACUGGUACGAUUUCCUUUUCACAAAAUUCGACAGGACUGAUACACACUGCGUGCGUGCGUAUAUCAACGAUAUUCAAUUAUCACACCUCCCUACACAGCGUGAACGUACGAUCCCCCCGUAUAGUCGGUACGGCUGUAUUGAAUUCCGGAAACAGAUAUUACACGAUGUAACUUUAAUACUUCUAAAGUAAGCUCUAAUUUAUAAGGUGUGGAAGUGAGUAAUUGAAGGUUGCGAGAAACCGAGGGAGAAAGAGACGCGAGAAAAAGUAAGAAAGAAAAAUGAUAAUCCACGAGUUUUGUACAUCCACAUGCGCACAGGUAUAUUUUGUUUAUUGCUGUGAUGAAUUAUGUAAUUAUAAAUAUUAGCGUGUAAGGCGGUUUUGAAAAUGCGGCUUUUCUUGCCAUUCUAAUAUAAUUGCGAGCAUUAGUCACACAUUUAUCCCCCCCAUCCGCUGUUGGAAUGUAAGCCUCUUUGGAAAAAAAAAAACCUUGCGGUUACGGGACGACGACCUAUUUAUCCUCGAUGUAUUUAAUUGUACGAUAUAUUUACGGCAUACUUGUAAAGCGCCUUGGAUAAACGGACUCGUCCAGAAGGCGAUUCGCCGCAACGACAAUUUCGUACGGGAGAAA